rnacentral:lncRNA from 1 species
GGACGAAGUCCCCGGGCUUGGUCCCCCGAGGGCUUGGUUGGGCGUCCCGGGGUAGGUGGCUGCCGCGGCGAUGUGGGCGGCUUGCGUGUGGCCGAUCGGGGUCGCUGCUGAGCCCUGGAGAGCGGAGGGUCCAGGCUAGGCUGGGGGAGCGAGAGGCGAGGGCGGGGCCGCGGAGGUGUGGGCGGCUUUCGUGGUCCCAGAGGCCCCUGGUUCCCGGCAGGGCGGGGAAGGCUGGGGCGGGGCCAGAGCCGGAGCCGCGAAGCCGCGAUGGAGAGGGCCUGGAGGGUGCGCCAGGAGCCGGCGUCAGGGCCUGCCUCCAUCUCCUCCAACCCCCACCCCAUUUAUUCCUGUAACAAAUCCCUACCGGGAGCUGGCACAGCAGCUGUGCGCUGGGGACACACGAGAUGCUCACCCUCCCUGCCCUCCAGGAGCUUGGACUCAGCUGAGCUGUUGUCCACACCAAGGGUGGCCUACAGAGGGAAGUGAGGACCUUGGGACUUCCUCCAGGACAGCCCUCGCUGUCCAAAUCUCCACCUGCUGCAGAGCUGCCUCCAGUCAAGCCCUUGUUUCCGGCUUUCUGUGCCCUAAAUAAACUUCCGCUAGGAUUGAGCCGUCAGCAUUCUGUGGUGGGCGUCGCUGCUGCAAGGUUGCCCUCGUGCACACAAGCUCCUCACAGGACUUCCAGGAUGAUAUGGAAGAGUAACUGAGAGCAGCCGCCCGGUGCUUCCCAACCUUAGAGGGAGGUCACGGGCAGUCUCCCUGCGAUGCCGGCCACAGGUGUGAGGAAGACAGUCCUUAUAGGAAAAUGCCCUCUCG